rnacentral:misc_RNA from 1 species
UUUCCGUAGGUGAACCUGCGGAAGGAUCAUUAGUGAAUUGCAUAUGUUAGCGGACCUCUUAGGAGUCCCUCGCAUCAAGUCAUAUCCAUAACACCUGUGAACUGUAAGGCUGCCUUGCAAAGGAGAGUGAUUAGAGCGCCUGCCCCUUUGAUACAAACAUUAAAGUAACAAACGUAGUAUUAUUAUAAUCUAAUAAAACUUUCAACAACGGAUCUCUUGGCUCUC